CCUACGGGUGGCAGCAGUGAGGAAUAUUGGUCAAUGGACGAGAGUCUGAACCAGCCAAGUAGCGUGAAGGAUGACUGCCCCAUGGGUUGUAAACUUCUUUUAUCUGGGAAUAAAAUGUUCCACGUGUGGGUUUUUGUAUGUACUAUAUGAAUAAGGAUCGGCUAACUCCGUGCCAGCAGCCGCGGUAAUACGGAGGAUCCGAGCGUUAUCCGGAUUUAUUGGGUUUAAAGGGAGCGUAGGUGGAGUGUUAAGUCAGUUGUGAAAGUUUGCGGCUCAACCGUAAAAUUGCAGUUGAAACUGGCAGUCUUGAGUACAGUAGAGGUAUGCGGAAUGCGUGGUGUAGCGGUGAAAUGCUUAGAUAUCGCGAAGAACUCCGAUUGCGAAGGCAGUACACUGGAGUGCAACUGACGCUGAGGCUCGAAAGUGUGGGUAUCGAACAGGAUUAGAUACCCGGGUAGUC
rnacentral:rRNA from 1 species